rnacentral:lncRNA from 1 species
CACCGCGACCCCUCCCGCAACCCGCCUGGCGGCCGGGGGCAGCGUGACCCGGCCCGCUACCGUGUCACAGCUGGCGACUGACAAACAGCAGGCGACGUCGGGAGAACUCCCCGAGACACCCGAGACAUCAGCCUUCUCGCUCCGCGGCCCUGCAGGACCUGCCCGCCGGGAGCCCCGGAGUCCGCGGCAGCGCCGAGGGCCCCUCCCCCAGGCCUCUGGGCUCUGAGGGACCAUGCCUGGCCGGAUGCUGCCGCCUGGCUUCAGUGCCAUCUGCAUGUCCUCAGGGAUGACAAAGGACUCAUUGUACCAGAUGUCAAAUUCUACAAGGAGGUGAGGAGACAGAACUUGAGGAAGCCGAGACGGGGUCUCACUGUAUUGCCCAGGCUGGUCUCGAACUCCUGUACUCAAGCAAUCCACCCGCCUCAGCCUCCCAAAGUGCUGAGAUUACAGGCGUGAGCCACUUCGCCUGGCCUAGGAGAUAUGAGUUUACUUGAUCUGUUCAAGUAAAUUCAAUAAAAUAAAGACAGUCUUCAUCUGUCACCCAGACUGGAGUGCAGUGGCGCAAUCUUGCCUCACUACAACCUCUGCCUCCUGGGCUCAAGCGAUUUUCAUGCCUCAGCCUCCCAAGAUGCUAGGAUUACAAGUGUGUGCCACCACGCCCUGCUCCUCUGAGAAAUAAAUGAGUAAAAUGCACCCCCUGUGAGUGAGAUGAUGCAUCUGACUUGCAGGAAUAAACCAAGUGACAUCUGGAGAUCACUCAUGGAAGCUGGCCUGGAACAGGGUUGUGAUUUAGCGAGGGAAAGCCCAGUAACCUGUGGUGUUUCCUGUCUGGAAGAAGACAGUAAGACUGAGCCAGGAGUGUGAAGAACAGUGUGGCCUCUGAACCACCUGUCCCAGAGUUGGAAUGGUCACUCACUAAAAUGCAGGUCCUGGGCCCUGCUCCAUCUCUCCCAAGUCAGAACCACUGGCUGAGGGGCUGGGAAUCUGCACUUGACCAGCCCUCUCAGAUAAGUCAUCUGAACACGCAAGCUUGGUGGGCCUUGGCCCUCAGUGCAGGUGUGGGCGGCGCACGCCACCAGGACAAGGACACUGGGUCAGAGUAACCAGGUACUCUUCACAUGUUGAGGAUCACAUAUGGUUUUGUUUGAUCUGGUGCAGAAGCUAACAUUAGCUGAUUACCUAAUUGGGCGUAAUUCCUCCUUCGGGGAGUCUGAGGGAAGGGGCUCAAUGCUGGAAGUUUCCCGGUCCCGCGAAAGCAUGUCUUUGACAUCCCCAUCUUUGGAGGAUGGGACCAGCUGGGUCUUGGAGGUGGAAACGUAAUCCAAGUCCUUCCCAUUCACAGGGCUGCUGGCACCUUCCUUUCUUGCCAAGGAGCUGGAAGAAGGCACGGAAGCCCCAGGGUUCAGUCAUGGACAGUGAGUUAUCAGAUGCCAGGAUGAGUGACCUUUCUCAGCACUGACUACACUGGGAACCCCACCUCAUUCAGCUCCCAUCUUGUUCAUAUGCCUAGGUAAAAGCGCAAAUAGUGUGAUGCUAAGCCAGGCAGAUGUGGAGGAAGAAGAGGGCAUUUUUCUCCCUUUUAUCAGAACAAAGAGCCCUCGGUGGUCUUGGCAGGAGACGCUUGGGAAAAAUGGGUACAAUCUCCAGGGAUUGAAAGUGUAUGGACCUGUAGGAUGGGCCACAGGUUCUCAGGAACCACCACGGCUGCUGAGGUCUGAGUCAUACAGGCUUCCCCGGGAAGGACUGGCAGAGCCCCACACAGGGUGGUUCUGUCUGUGGAUCAAUGGUAAAGCAGGAUGGCUCUGCCCUGCUGUUCUUACUGGUCCACACCCUGUUCUCCACACCAGCUCCCAGAAAAGUAGCUGUCCUCCCUGCUGAAGUGACAGUGCUUGGUGCCUUUCUCCGAGAAGAGGCAGAUCUGAGGACCGAACUGGCAGGAGGAUGCCCAUGGCUCUUCCCAAAGGUCUGAGGAUAGAAAAUCUGUUUCUUCCUCUUUCCUCCUCCUUGCAACGAGUAUGGCUCAGGGAACUGAGCCUCAACCCAUUGAAUACUGCACUGAUUAUCCGGAAGCAGAACAGAGAGGGUUGGGGUGUGACUGCACUCAUGAAGAGGCAGGAGGAAGCCAGGGACACUGGCAUCCUCUGCUGCCUGACUCUUGUCCUGCGUGUAACAGUUUUCUACAAUCAGCUCUGGCCUGUGGCCUGUGCUCACACACUCUUGCUCACAACAACCUCAAUGACUUGG